rnacentral:tRNA from 1 species
GCCUCCUUGGCUCAGUCGGUUAGAGUGCGUCCUUGGUAAGGACGAGGUCCCGAGUUCGAUUCUCGGAGGAGGCU